CCCACAGCAUAGGCAUUGUUCCAUGGGACCUGGGGACAAGGGAGGCCAGUGCAACAUAACAUGUCAUAUGAAGCAUUAGAUCAAAUCUCAGAAAAUGUUCCAUGAGACUGAUUUACAAGAUAAGCUGUUGGAGGAAAUUAAAUCCACACCUUCCAGAUGUACCUUCCCACAUGACAUAGAAGACAGGACCUCAGACUCGUGGCAAGCAAACAAUGAGAUCAUCCUUCAGCACUUUCUAGAACCGCCAUGCAGCCAGCCCAGGCCCUGGAUAUCAGCCUAACAGACUCCAUUACCAUUCUAGUCAUUCCUUUGCAAAAUACUACUGAAAAAGCAGUUACACAUGGGAACCCUGAAAUUUUUCUAUAAAAAUGUAUUUGUAAGCCC